CUAGGGCUGGCCCUAGGAUGGUGCUCUUGGAGUAUGGGGCCAUAUCUUCAUACACUGAAGUGCACAUGUCUAGGCAGUUGAAGCUGCUAUCAACCCCACAGUCAUUUCUGUGCUUCCACUUUUUGGUGCUAUGCAUGUGGGAAUCAGAGAUAAGACACAAGGCCUGAAAGACUGUGCAAUGCAGACAACAGGCCAGAUCCAACGCUGGUGUGUGCAACACAACUCCGCAAGUCAAUGGAGCUCCACCAGGUAAGGAGUGGAAUUUGAAUGGAAGAACAUGGGGAAACAGUGCCUCUUGUGUACGCUUUUUUAAAAAAAGAAAGGAUCAAUAAAUGGAUAAGAGACAUGGAUAGGUUGUUCCUGUUGUGAGAUCUUAACUACGCAAACCAUCACCAGAAAUGCUAUCCCAGAGACGUCAAUGGGUGAAAAUCACUUAAGAAGGACUUUGUCAGGGGAAGAGAAUUAAAAAGGUAUCUCUAUGAUGGACGAUAUGGACAGGAAAAACAAGGAUGGAUGAAAGAAACACUUGACCACCUCCCAGGACUGAAUUCAACUGGCUAGCAGUCCAUUGGAAACUGAGGAUGAAAGCAUGAAGGUUAGAUCUUAGAGGGAGGCAGUUCUUCAUGCACAGCUUUUGUCAAUCCUGAUUUUUGUUUUAAAAAAUAAAAACAUGGAAAACCAAGAUCA